UAUAAAUUUAAUUGUUGCCAGUAUUGACAUGUAUUGACAUGUAGAAUGGG
rnacentral:tRNA from 1 species